UUUUUUCUUACUGGGCGCUAAAAAUAGCAUCAGUGUUUGAUCGUGGUCCAGAAAUAGGCAGAGGGUAUCACUUGUAUAAAAAGGGACUGCGAUUCUGAGAAAACUUGGACGUGUUGCUGAAGAUAGAGAUGAAUCAAGGGCAGUAUUUGAUUUUCGUCUUGCUUGUUGUUUUUGGUCACAUAUGAUGGUUUUAUACUCAUGUCUGUGUUUUCCCUGCUUUCAGCCAGGGCUUCCUGCACUGGGCAGGACAAAACUUGAGGCAUCCAUCGUGUCAAGUACGGAGGGAGAAAUGAACGGCUCGACAUCGAAUCACAGAACGUUCCCAAAUGGGGUUGCUUGUGACGUCACUGUCUUCAAAAUCUGCUGAUGACUGGACGUCUAUGCAAAAGUGGGAUGUGAAGCCGAACUGACUGUGUUCCUCAUGGAAGAGGAGUAACGGCUGACAGGAAUGGAAGAUGUCGGAGGGAAAAGAAGGGGUUUACCAAUAAACAAGCGUGGCAAAGGCCUCAGCCGUGAGAAUACCGUGGUGAAGUCCUAGGGUUAAUCAUCUGAUCCACAACAUUCACAUGUCAGAGGGAAAAAUUCAAAGGAUGAAAAUCUGGGAAAACUUUACCUUGUAUCCUGCACACAAGAUCAACGUCUGUUAGACUGCUUUACACCUGUAAAUGGAUAUUCAGCAAGUUGAUAACUUUGUAGGAACAACACAACACCGUCAGGUAUUUGCAAUAUCUGUCUGUAAACUACUUGGGGCUUAAUA